rnacentral:rRNA from 1 species
AUUGAACGCUAGCGGGAUGCCUUACACAUGCAAGUCGAACGGAGUGGCGAACGGGUGAGUAAUGUAUCGGAACGUGCCCCGUAGCGGGGGCUAACUACGCGAAAGCGUAGCUAAUACCGCAUACUAUUGGAGCGGCCGCUAUCGGAUUAGCUAGUUGGUGGGGUAACGACUCACCAAGGCGACGAGCCGUAGCUGGUUUGAGAGGACGACCAGCCAACCGGGGACUGAGACACGGCCCAGACUCCUACGGGAGGCCGCAGGGGGGAAGUUUGGACAAUGGGGGAAACCCUGAUCCAGCCAUCCCGCGGGUGCGAUGAAGGCCGUCGGGUUGUAAAGCACUUUUGGCAGGAAAGCGGUACCUGCAGAAUAAGCACCGGCUAACUACGUGCCAGCCGCCGCGGUAAUUC